rnacentral:misc_RNA from 1 species
AACAUCGCGCACCUGCGGGAACCUGCGGAGGGAUCAUUAACGAAUAACUAUGGUGUUGGUUGUCGCUGGCUCCUAGGAGCAUUGUGCACGCCCGCCAUUUUUAUCUUUCCACCUGUGCACUUAGUGUAGGUCUGGAUACCACUCGCUUUCCCAAGCGGACUCAGAGAUUGCUGUGUCGCAAGACCGGGCUCUCUUUGAAUUUCCAGGUCUAUGUCUUUUUUACACACCCCAAUUGAAUGA